CUACCAUUGAGGAGUCCCACAAUAGGACGAAACGGCCGUCCAGUGC
rfam:Schistosoma mansoni strain Puerto Rico chromosome 7, complete genome